rnacentral:sRNA from 1 species
CACGAAGGAAGGCAGACUAAGAACGCCACGUCCUGUGGCAACGUCUGUAUGACCCCCAUCCUGGGGG